ensembl:lncRNA
CAUCGUGUGUUUAUUAAGGAACCCAACAAAACAUUACAUUAUCUAGCGAUCCGUUAACUGUAUUAUGUUAUUUCGUCUUUGGCAACAUGAGCGCGAAUGUUUUUUGAAACCUGCCCGGCAACGGACGACGCGAUCAUGUGCUGCCAUGCAGUAUGGAAGGGGAGAUUUGGAGGUAUCUGGUCAGGCCUUUGUCAGCCUACAAAUCCCAGAUGUGGAGACUGCAGGGAUAUCUCACGGAGAGGACACUAAAGACCCAUCUCUCAUUCAUCGAGUGGACUCAUUGGUUUGCGAAUGACCACAAAGAUGCUCCCAUGGGCAGAUUGCUGCAUGGCAUUUGCCACUUAUUCAAAUUGUAGAGGUUGAAGCAGUCUUCAUUGUGGUCACUUGCCAUAACACUGUCAUGUGUUUUAUCAAAACAACAUCAGUAACAUUUAAAUUGAGUUGAUGUGGACGGCUCUUUUUUUUUGUCCGAUUUUUUCAGUGUUCAGUGCCUGUUUGUGAGAUAUGCAUUGUUUGAAAGAUAAGCCUUUGAUUUUGUUUAAUUUUAAUAUGCCUUUCAUCAACAGUGGUUUGGGGUUUUAUAACAACAAUUAAAAUGAUUAACUACUGGUGAACGAAGUUGCAGAACAUAUAUGGUACAAGUUUGUGUUGAUUGCAUGGAAAAGGGAAUAACCAGUUAUAACUUAUAUGGUAAGAGCCUGGUAAUACCAUGGAAACAAACCAGGCUUCCAUUUACACUACAGUUUCAGCUUACUCAGUGGUUAAAUUGUCAUGUUUUACUUAGUAACGUCGCAGAACGCACAUGGUACAAGUUGGUGUUGACUGCAUGGAAAAGGGACUUAUGUAUUACAAAUUAUAUGGUAAGAACCUGGUAAUACCAUGGAAAUAAACGAGGCUUCCUUUUACAGUACAUUUUCAGCUUACUUACUUGGUAAACUGUUGUGUUUUACUUGGUAACGUCGCAGAACGUGCAUGGUACAAGUUUGUGUUGACUGCAUG